GGAAGCGUGGCAGAGUGGAUGAAUGCUCCGGACUUGAACUCCGGCAAGCCUGCAAGGGCUCCGUGGGUUCGAAUCCCCCCGCUUCCGCCA
rnacentral:tRNA from 1 species